GCUUACGGCCAUGCCACCCUGAAUGCGCCCGAUCUCAUCUGAUCUCUGAAGCUAAGCAGCGUCAGGCCUGGUUAGUACUUGGAUGGGUGACCGCCUGGGAAUGGCUCAUGACCCUCCCAAGUC
rnacentral:rRNA from 1 species